rnacentral:rRNA from 10 species
GCUUACGGCUAUACCAGCUUGGGCAUGCCCGAUCUCGUCUGAUCUUGGAAGUUAAGCAGGGUCGGGCCUGGUUAGUACUUGGAUGGGUGACCGCCUGGGAAUACCAGGUGCUGUAAGCA